rnacentral:rRNA from 1 species
CAUGCAAGUCGAACGCAGACUUUGCAAAGAGUUUUAGUGGCGAACGGGUGAGUAACACGUAAGUAACCUGCCUUUAAGACGAGGGUAACAAAUGGAAACAUUUGCUAAGACUGGAUAGGAAACAAGAAGGCAUCUUUUUGUUUUUAAAAGACCUCCUAAAAAAAGGUAUGCUUAAAGAGGGGCUUGCGCCACAUUAGUUUGUUGGUAAGGUAAUGGCUUACCAAGACUAUGAUGUGUAGCUGGACUGAGAGGUUGAACAGCCACAUUGGGACUGAGACACGGCCCAAACUCCUACGGGAGGCAGCAGUAGGGAAUUUUCGGCAAUGGAGGAAACUCUGACCGAGCAAUGCCGCGUGAACGAUGAAGUAUUUCGGUAUGUAAAGUUCUUUUAUUGAAGAAGAAAAAUAGUGGAAAAACUAUCUUGGACGCUAUUCAAUGAAUAAGCCCCGGUUAACUAUGUGCCAGCAGCCGCGGUAAGACAUAGGGGGCGAGCGUUAUCCGGAAUUAUUGGGCGUAAAGGGUGCGUAGGCGGUUAGUUAAGUCUAUAAUUUAAUUUCAACGCUUAACGUUGUUUUGUUAUAGAAACUGCCUAACUAGAGUGAGAUAGAGGCAAGUGGAAUUCCAUGUGUAGCGGUAAAAUGUGUAAAUAUAUGGAGGAACACCAGAAGCGUAGGCGGCUUGCUGGGUCUUUACUGACGCUGAGGCACGAAAGCGUGGGUAGCAAACAGGAUUAGAUACCCUGGUAGUCCACGCCGUAAACGAUGAGUACUAAGUGUCAGGGUAAAACUUGGUACUGAAGUUAACACAUUAAGUACUCCGCCUGAGUAGUACGUACGCAAGUAUGAAACUUAAAGGAAUUGACGGGACUCCGCACAAGCGGUGGAUCAUGUUGUUUAAUUCGAAGAUACACGAAAAACCUUACCAGGUCUUGACAUACUCUGCAAAGUUAUAGAAAUAUAAUGGAGGUUAUCAGGGAUACAGGUGGUGCAUGGUUGUCGUCAGCUCGUGUCGUGAGAUGUUAGGUUAAGUCCUAAAACGAGCGCAACCCUUGUCGUUAGUUACCAGCACGUAAAGGUGGGGACUUUAGCGAGACUGCCAAUUAAAAAUUGGAGGAAGGGUGAGGAUUACGUCAAAUCAUCAUGCCCCUUAUGAUCUGGGCUACAAACGUGAUACAAUGGCUGUUACAAAGAGUAGCUGAAACGUGAGUUUUUAGCCAAUCUCAAAAAAGCAGUCUCAGUUCGGAUUGAAGUCUGCAACUCGACUUCAUGAAGUUGGAAUCGCUAGUAAUCGCGAAUCAGCAUGUCGCGGUGAAUACGUUCUCGGGGUUUGUACACACCGCCCGUCAAACCAUGAAAGUGGACAAUACCCAAAAGCAGUGGCUUAAUUUCGUAAGAAAAGGGAACUGUCUAAGGUAGGGUCGAUGAUUGGGGUUAAG